ensembl:lncRNA
CUUUAUUUGGAACACUCAAAGGGACCAAUCAUUAUCUUUUAAUUACCACCAGCAUGCAUUGGGCCCCCUUACAGCGGGGUAAUUAAUCUUACAGGGCGGAAAAGCAGAUAUGCCUUAUGGAAAAUAGCCGGGCUUCAUUAGAAUAGGUACAUUAUUAGUAAAUACACGGAGCACGGUGCAGUAAUGGGACGACUUCAGCCACUCCUUUGCUUUCCACACGACCGCGAUGGGAUGAUGGAGGAACGAGUCACAAUGAAUCAUUGUCAAUGGACCCGGGCUAAUAUGAUGAACUACCCAUUGAGUGGUACUUAUUGAACAGAACUUACCAGUCAAGGACACACUCAUACUCAGCACUCCCAGCAACGUCGCAUCUGGUCAGCUGUGACAGGAGAGAGAAACCCACCACAGUGGGGAGAGGGCGGGCAGCAGUCGCAAGCGCAACGACGCUCCGCCCCCGAGGCAAAUGUUUUGGGGGCAUUCACACCCCUGCAGUCAUUCGUCAGUGUCUCUCUCUCCAGGAACACAGCCCAUGGCCGGGGCCCCUCAAAGCCCAGAGAGGAGGAGCUUCAUCUGCAUCAAGGGCCCGGGCCCCUCUCUGGAUCCGCCCAUGAGUUAUCUCCUCAAUAACGUCUAAUCAGACAGCUGCCGCUUCCUCCACUGUAAACAAAAGUAAUUACAGUAGAUGUGAUGGAUGGAGGAAUCAAACACUUUGUGCAGGCUCAGGGUCGACCCAGGACUCUGUAGAGCGGAACACUUUAAUUAGGGACAGACUAACUCAGCAGAACUGAAUGAGCCUGACAAAGCAGACAAUUGAGUUUCUAAAAUAAGCCCGGUUGUGUCUGUUGUUUUUUUACAGGUUGGUCCAGUGAUUUACUUACAACGCUUCUUCUUAAUGGGUUUUGGCAAAAUAAAUGUUUUAUUAUUUGUUUCCCUCUCAGAAAUACACACUUCAUCAGGGACAAUUAAAUCCAGUCCAUUGCCACAGUUUAUCAUUCACCCAACCUGGUGGCUUACAUUUGUUUUUACAGCAUCUGCUCAAUCGAAGUCCAUGGGGAAUAGAUUUUAGAUUUGUUUGAUCAAAUGUAUUCCACUAAUCAAAAGUAUUUGAUUGAUGGUGUUCUCGAUGUUUUUCUGAAUAAAUAUAUUAUGAGCAGUCAAAAAUGUAUUAGUCCUCCUCCAAUUUUGGGGAAAAAAAGAAGACUAUUUUUUUAUUCGGUAAACAUAAAUAGUGAAUAUAAAUAUAAUAUAAAAUCACCAGGCA